UACGUAGGUGGCAAGCGUUGUCCGGAAUUACUGGGCGUAAAGCGAACGCAGGCGGAUGGUUAAGUAAGAAGUGAAAGGUUGGAGCUCAACUCCAACAUUGCUUCUUAUACUGGCCGUCUUGAGUCCCGGAGAGGAAAGCGGAACUGCACGUGUAGCGGUGAAAUGCGUUGAUAUGUGCAGGAACACCAAUGGCGAAGGCAGCUUUCUGGACGAGGACUGACGCUCAUGUUCGAAAGCCAAGGUAGCGAACAGG
rnacentral:misc_RNA from 1 species